rnacentral:rRNA from 1 species
GGAAUAUUGGACAAUGGGGGAAACCCUGAUCCAGCAAUGCCGCGUGUGUGAAGAAGGCCUGCGGGUUGUAAAGCACUUUCAGUAGAGAAGAAAAGCUCACGGUUAAUACCCGUCGAGUCUUGACGUAACCUACAGAAGAAGCACCGGCUAACUCCGUGCCAGCAGCCGCGGUAAUACGGAGGGUGCAAGCGUUAAUCGGAAUUACUGGGCGUAAAGCGCGCGUAGGCGGCUCGGUAAGUCGGAUGUGAAAGCCCAGGGCUUAACCUUGGAAUUGCAUUCGAUACUGCUUGGCUAGAGUAUGGUAGAGGGAAGUGGAAUUUCCGGUGUAGCGGUGAAAUGCGUAGAUAUCGGAAGGAACACCAGUGGCGAAGGCGACUUCCUGGGCCAAUACUGACGCUGAGGUGCGAAAGCGUGGGGAGCAAAC